CCUACGGGGGGCAGCAGUGGGGAAUAUUGCACAAUGGGGGAAACCCUGAUGCAGCAACGCCGCGUGAGUGAUGACGGCCUUCGGGUUGUAAAGCUCUGUCUUCAGGGACGAUAAUGACGGUACCUGAGGAGGAAGCCACGGCUAACUACGUGCCAGCAGCCGCGGUAAUACGUAGGGGGCUAGCGUUAUCCGGAAUUACUGGGCGUAAAGGGUGCGUAGGUGGUUUCUUAAGUCAGAGGUGAAAGGCUACGGCUCAACCGUAGUAAGCCUUUGAAACUGAGAAACUUGAGUGCAGGAGAGGAGAGUAGAAUUCCUAGUGUAGCGGUGAAAUGCGUAGAUAUUAGGAGGAACACCAGUAGCGAAGGCGGCUUUCUGGACUGUAACUGACACUGAGGCACGAAAGCGUGGGGAGCAAACAGGAUUA
rnacentral:rRNA from 1 species